rnacentral:rRNA from 1 species
UCAGGUGGUUAUAGCACGAGGGCUCCACCUCUUCCCAUUCCGAACAGAGAAGUUAAGCCUCGUCACGCCGAUGGUACUGCGUAACAGUGGGAGAGUAGGUAGCCGCCGUUU